UUUACCUGCAUUUAAACGAGAAAUCAUGUAUUAUUCACGGCUCGUACUGAUGCUACUGGUCCUUGUGCCUGGUACAAGUGGAAUCGACUCAGUAUCCCAGGUUCCGUCUGAACUAACAGUUGAGGAAGGAGAGACCAUUACACUGAACUGCAGUUAUUCCACGACUGAUACUUUUCCUUAUUUCUUCUGGUAUAUUCAAUAUCCAGGGAGUUCUCUGAAAUAUAUGCUGAAGAGAUAUGACAAUGGUCCAGGCGAGACCGCUCAAAAUUUCCGUCAAAGAUUCAGUGCAUCAUUGGACAAAGAACGAAAAACAGUUCCACUAAGAAUCCUUCGAGUUUGUGUCUCUGACUCUGCAACGUAUCAUUGUGCACUGCGCCCCACACUGUUACAGGGACGCUGUCAGCAUUUUUUACUUUAA